CCUACGGGAGGCAGCAGUGAGGAAUAUUGGUCAAUGGGCGAGAGCCUGAACCAGUCAAGUCGCGUGAGGGAGUACUGCCCUAUGGGUUGUAAACCUCUUUUGUCGGGGAGCAAAAGCCGGACGUUUCCGGCUGUGAGAGUACCCGAAGAAAAAGCACCGGCUAACUCCGGGCCAGCAGCCGCGGUAAUACGGAGGAUGCGAGCGUUAUCCGGAUUUAUUGGGUUUAAAGGGUGCGCAGGCGGAUUUUUAAGUCAGCGGUAAAAUCGUGGGGCUCAACCCCAUCCAGCCGUUGAAACUGGGGAUCUAGAGUGUGCGAGAGGUAUGCGGAAUGCGUGGUGUAGCGGUGAAAUGCAUAGAUAUCACGCAGAACCCCGAUUGCGAAGGCAGCAUACCGGUGCACAACUGACGCUCAGGCACGAAAGCGUGGGUAUCGAACAGGAUUAGAUACCCGAGUAGUC
rnacentral:rRNA from 1 species